AGACGUCUACAUUAGAUACCCCCUGUAGUCCAGGGUGUAAACGCUGCAGACUUGGUGUUGGAAGCCCUUUGGGGGCAUUCAGUGCCGGAGAGAAGUUGUUAAGUCUGCUACUUGGGGAGUACGUCCGCAAGGAUGAAACUUAAAGGAAUUGGCGGGGGAGCACCGCAACGGGAGGAGCGUGCGGUUUAAUUGGAUUCAACACCGUAAAACUCACCAGGGAAGACUGUUACAUGAAGGCCGAGAUGAAGACUCUGCUAGAUUUUCAG
rnacentral:rRNA from 1 species